CUUGGGAGACUGCCGGUGUAAAACUGGAGGAAGGUGGGGAUGACGUCAAGUCAUCAUGCCCUUUAUGUCCUUGGGCUGCACACGUGCUACAAUGGUCGGUACAGAGAGGUGCGAUACCGUGGAGGUGGAAGCCGAAAUCUCACAAAGCCGAUCUAAGUCCGGAUUGAAGGCUGCAACUCGCCUUCAUGAAGUCGGAGUCGCUAGUAAUCGUGGAUCAGAAUGCCCACGGUCGAAUACGUUCCGGGCCUU
rnacentral:rRNA from 1 species